GAACUCUGUGUCCCUGCAAGGGGCAAGGCCCACGAAGCCUGCUGCAAAUCCCGCCGCCUCCUGGCCCUGUUGUGCAUAAGGUCUGUCCUUUGUCCCGUGGGCCCAGCCGGGCGAGUCCAUACCCUCCGCCUGUUCGAGACAAACAUCCCUGCAGACGAGGGGAAGGUCCGACAUGCGAUUCUCUGGCCUUUAAGAAAGAGCAACAUUGAGCAGCUAAACUCUACGAAGCUUCGCCCACUCAGCACACGGAACAGGAGAGUAGAGCUAGAAUGAGUGGAGUUGCCCGUGGUACCAAAGGGAGGUAAGAAUCAAGGAAAACUCUUUGUGGCU